rnacentral:rRNA from 1 species
AUUGAACGUUGGCGGCACGCCUAAUACAUGCAAGUCGAACGAGAAAGCACUUCGGUGUGAGUACAGUGGCGGACGGGUGAGUAACGCGUAGGAAUCUACCUAGUAGUGGGGGACAACUCGGGGAAACUCGAGCUAAUACCGCAUACGACCUAAGGGUGAAAGUGGGGGAUCUUCGGACCUCACGCUAUUAGAGGAGCCUGCGUUGGAUUAGUUUGUUGGUGGGGUAAUGGCCUACCAAGACUACGAUCCAUAGCUGGUCUGAGAGGACGAUCAGCCACACUGGAACUGAGACACGGUCCAGACUCCUACGGGAGGCAGCAGUAGGGAAUCUUGGGCAAUGGGCGAAAGCCUGACCCAGCGAUGCCGCGUGUGUGAAGAAGGCCUUAGGGUUGUAAAGCACUUUCAGUCGCGAAGAAAUGUUCAGGGUUAAUAGCUCUGAGCCUUGACGUUAACGACAGAAGAAGCACCGGCUAACUCCG